UGAAAAUUAUUCAUAAAUUAAAUUGUUUUUUUUUUUUUAUUUUUAACUAACUAAAAAGUAAGGUUUUUUUUUUUUUUUACUCAAAAAAUGAGGUGCCACUUCUCAGAUAAAUAAGGCUUACAAUAAAUCAGAUGAAAAUAUAAAUACAAAACCAGUCCUAAAAUGAAAGAAAAGUUGACAAAAAGAUUGAAUCCAAUCUUUGGUGAUAAUAUAGCAUAAUAAGUGAUUUAUAAGCAAUUUUCUGAGUCUGUGUCAUUUUUGCCAUGGAACACCACAAGUGUAACAAGGGGAAAAAUCUCCCCCCAAAAAAGUAAGAAAAUGAUCAAAACAUUUUUGAGAAGUAGUUAUACACUUUUGUGAACAAAGUCACUAAAUUUCAGUCCAAUGUGAUAACAUUAACUAGUAUUCUCGGGAAAAAGAAAAUCUUCUUGGGGCAAAAAAGACCCGAACACCACAUUUACUGCUAGUAAAACCCAUGACUUAUCCACUGUUUAAACUCACAGCACGUUACUAGGGUGUUGGGUGCUUGUUCUAUUCUAAUCAUAAAAAAAUGUGUUAAAAAUACAAAACUGUUGCAAACAUUUCAUAUUUGUAAAUACACAUUUUAUUGAUUUACAGAUUCUGGACUGGACUGUGAAGAUCUGCAUGGCAUUAAAGCACCUGCAUGAUCAACAGGUCCUCCAUAAAAACCUGCAGCCCAAGUGAAAUUUGGAGGUUGGGAUGUGUCGUCUAUGAGCUGUGCGAGCUGAAGUGUGCUGUGAGAUUUUUAGUUCAAUUUUAUCCUUUGUAUAACUAAAUGCACUGAGUUUGUAAUAUAUUGCAGAAAUGUAAAGCUUUCGGAAAGGCCAAGACAGUACAAUUUGAAAUUAUUCACACAAGUUAUCUAGCUGGAAAAAUGUAAAUUAUUGUAAAAAUUAUGUACAAUAUUUUUCACACACACACACACACACACACACACACACACACACACAACAAAAACAAAAAAAAACUAAGUAUAAUAGUACUAAUAAUUAAUUAACCUAUAAUAACUAAUUAUUAUUUACUACACACACACACACACACACACACACACACACACACACACACACACACACACACACACACACACACACACACACCAAAAAGAAAAUAAAAACUUUCAGUGAACAGUUCUUAAAAGAACAAUUGGUAACACUUUACAUUAAGGUUCCCUUUGUAA
rnacentral:lncRNA from 1 species